rnacentral:rRNA from 1 species
GGUAGCUUGCUACCUGCCGGCGAGUGGCGAACGGGUGAGUAAUACAUCGGAACGUGCCCUGUAGUGGGGGAUAACUAGUCGAAAGACUAGCUAAUACCGCAUACGACCUGAGGGUGAAAGUGGGGGACCGCAAGGCCUCAUGCUAUAGGAGCGGCCGAUGUCUGAUUAGCUAGUUGGUGGGGUAAAGGCCCACCAAGGCGACGAUCAGUAGCUGGUCUGAGAGGACGAUCAGCCACACUGGGACUGAGACACGGCCCAGACUCCUACGGGAGGCAGCAGUGGGCCCAAA